UGCCAAUCGCUCUAAUUCCUCUCUG
rnacentral:misc_RNA from 1 species